AUACGUAGGUGACAAGCGUUAUCCGGAUUUACUGGGCGUAAAGGGCGUGUAGGCGGUCUUGCAAGUCAGAAGUGAAAUUCCUGAGCUCAACUCGGGCGCUGCUUCUGAAACUGCAGGACUUGAGUGCUGGAGGGGAUAGCGGAAUUCCUAGUGGAGCGGUAAAAUGCGCAGAUAUUAGGAAGAACACCGGUGGCGAAGGCGGCUAUCUGGACAGUAACUGACGCUGAGGCGCGAAAGCGUGGGGAGCAAACAGGAUUAGAUUCCCUGGUAGUCCACGCCGUAAACGAUGAAUACUAAGUGUAGGGGGUAUCGACUCCCUCUGUGCCGCAGUUAACACAAUAAGUAUUCCGCCUGGGGAGUACGGUCGCAAGGUUGAAACUCAAAGGAAUUGACGGGG
rnacentral:rRNA from 1 species